GACGAACGCUGGCGGCGUGCCUAAUACAUGCAAGUAGAACGCUGAAGAGAGGAGCUUACUCUUCUUGGAUGAGUUGCGCACGGGUGAGUAACGCGUAGGUAACCUGCCUUGUAGCGGGGGAUAACUAUUGGAAACGAUAGCUAAUACCGCAUAACAAUGGAUGACACAUUUCAUUUAUUUGAAAGGGGCAAUUGCUCCACUACAUGAUGGACCUGCGUUGUAUUAGCUAGUAGGUGAGGUAAUGGCUCACCUAGGCGGCGAUACAUAGCCGACCGGAGAGGAAGGAACGCCACACUGGGAGCGAGACACGGCCCAGACUCCCACGGAAAGAGGCAGUAGGGGAACUUCGGUCAUGGGGGCAACCCUUACCGAACAACGCCGCGAGAGGGAAGAAGGUUUUCGGGGCGGAAAGAGCUGUUGUAAGUCGAGAACGGGGGGGAGAAUGGGAAGUUCACACUGUGACGGUAGCUGGCCAAAAAGGGACGGCUAACUACGUG
rnacentral:rRNA from 1 species